GAGAAACUGGGUCGACAAUAUGUCACAUACUUGUAAACAUGAUCAUCACUUUGAUCGCGACAAAUUUGAGAGGGUUCCGCUCUAGGAGUGUCAACACAAGUAGCCAAGGGAUUAUAAUGGAGAUGCUUGGAAAGGGAGUAAAUUGAUGACGAAGCAAGUGUAAAGAAGAAAGGGUUGCGGCGAGGGGAAAGGGCCUUACAUAGAAAAGGGGCUACGACCGGAGCUUUCAUGGUUCUUGGGAGAAUUUUAUAGCGGAUAAUGAUAGAACAACAAAAUGGUUUAAUCAGGCAAUCGAAAUUGUUAUGAACUCACCACAUAAAAUUUAUAUUUUAUAUAUAUAUUCUCCGAAGCAGCCUUG
rnacentral:misc_RNA from 1 species